UGCAUGCGGAAAAUGAGAAGAGAGAAAAAAGAAAAGUGCACAUAAAGACAGCCACUCACUGCCUUUGUAAGCCAGUCCGUUCACUGAUUUUUUCCUUUCCUUUUU
rnacentral:ribozyme from 11 species